AGUGAACGCUGGCGGUAGGCCUAACACAUGCAAGUCGAACGGCAGCACAGUAAGAGCUUGCUCUUACGGGUGGCGAGUGGCGGACGGGUGAGGAAUACAUCGGAAUCUACUUUUUCGUGGGGGAUAACGUAGGGAAACUUACGCUAAUACCGCAUACGACCUACGGCUGAAAGCAGGGGAUCUUCGGACCUUGCGCGAUUGAAUGAGCCGACGUCGGAUUAGCUAGUUGGCGGGGUAAAGGCCCACCAAGGCGACGAUCCGUAGCUGGUCUGAGAGGAUGAUCAGCCACACUGGAACUGAGACACGGUCCAGACUCCUACGGGAGGCAGCAGUGGGGAAUAUUGGACAAUGGGCGCAAGCCUGAUCCAGCCAUACCGCGUGAGUGAAGAAGGCCUUCGGGUUGUAAAGCCCUUUUGUUGGGAAAGAAAAGCAGCAGGUUAAUACCCCGCUGUUCUGACGGUACCCAAAGAAUAAGCACCGGCUAACUUCGUG
rnacentral:rRNA from 1 species